rnacentral:rRNA from 1 species
GCUUGCUCUCGGGUGACGAGUGGCGGACGGGUGAGUAAUGUCUGGGAAACUGCCUGAUGGAGGGGGAUAACUACUGGAAACGGUAGCUAAUACCGCAUAAUGUCGCAAGACCAAAGAGGGGGACCUUCGGGCCUCUUGCCAUCAGAUGUGCCCAGAUGGGAUUAGCUAGUAGGUGGGGUAACGGCUCACCUAGGCGACGAUCCCUAGCUGGUCUGAGAGGAUGACCAGCCACACUGGAACUGAGACACGGUCCAGACUCCUACGGGAGGCAGCAGUGGGGAAUAUUGCACAAUGGGCGCAAGCCUGAUGCAGCCAUGCCGCGUGUAUGAAGAAGGCCUUCGGGUUGUAAAGUACUUUCAGCGGGGAGGAAGGUGUUGUGGUUAAUAACCACAGCAAUUGACGUUACCCGCAGAAGAAGCACCGGCUAACUCCGUGCCAGCAGCCGCGGUAAUACGGAGGGUGCAAGCGUUAAUCGGAAUUACUGGGCGUAAAGCGCACGCAGGCGGUCUGUCAAGUCGGAUGUGAAAUCCCCGGGCUCAACCUGGGAACUGCAUUCGAAACUGGCAGGCUGGAGUCUUGUAGAGGGGGGUAGAAUUCCAGGUGUAGCGGUGAAAUGCGUAGAGAUCUGGAGGAAUACCGGUGGCGAAGGCGGCCCCCUGGACAAAGACUGACGCUCAGGUGCGAAAGCGUGGGGAGCAAACAGGAUUAGAUACCCUGGUAGUCCACGCCGUAAACGAUGUCGAUUUGGAGGUUGUGCCCUUGAGGCGUGGCUUCCGGAGCUAACGCGUUAAAUCGACCGCCUGGGGAGUACGGCCGCAAGGUUAAAACUCAAAUGAAUUGACGGGGGCCCGCACAAGCGGUGGAGCAUGUGGUUUAAUUCGAUGCAACGCGAAGAACCUUACCUGGUCUUGACAUCCACAGAACUUUCCAGAGAUGGAUUGGUGCCUUCGGGAACUGUGAGACAGGUGCUGCAUGGCUGUCGUCAGCUCGUGUUGUGAAAUGUUGGGUUAAGUCCCGCAACGAGCGCAACCCUUA